rnacentral:pre_miRNA from 1 species
UGUCAGAUAGCUUAUCAGACUGAUGUUGACUGUUGGAUCUCAUGGCAACAGCAGUCGAUGGG